rnacentral:rRNA from 1 species
UACAGAGGGUGCGAGCGUUAAUCGGAAUUACUGGGCGUAAAGCGUGCGUAGACGGUGGCGUAAGUCGGGUGUGAAAGCCCCGGGCUCAACCUGGGAAUUGCAUUCGAGACUGUGUCGCUAGGGUGCGGAAGAGGGAAGCGGAAUUUCCGGUGUAGCGGUGAAAUGCGUAGAUAUCGGAAGGAACAUCAGUGGCGAAAGCGGCU